rnacentral:rRNA from 1 species
AUUGAACGCUGGCGGCAGGCCUAACACAUGCAAGUCGAACGAGCGGCGGACGGGUGAGUAAUGUAUGGGGACUGCCCGAUAGAGGGGGAUAACUACUGGAAACGGUGGCUAAUACCGCAUACUAUCGGAUAACCCAUAUGGGAUUAGCUAGUAGGUGGGGUAAAGGCUCACCUAGGCGACGAUCUCUAGCUGGUCUGAGAGGAUGAUCAGCGACACUGGGACUGCGAUAGGGACCAAUAGCCUACGGAGGCAGCGGUGGGGAAUAUUGCACAAUGGGGGAAACCGUGAUGCAGAGACGCCGCGGGCGUGAAGACGGGCUUCGGGUUGUAAACCGCUUUCAGCCAUGACGCGGUAGUGGCAGAAGAAGCACCGGCUAACUCCGUGCCAGCAGCCGCGGUAAUAC